rnacentral:rRNA from 1 species
UACAGAGGGUGCAAGCGUUAAUCGGAAUUACUGGGCGUAAAGCGUGCGUAGACGGUUACAUAAGUCGGGUGUGAAAGCCCCGGGCUCAACCUGGGAAUUGCAUUCGAGACUGCGUAGCUAGGGUGCGGAAGAGGGAAGCGGAAUUUCCGGUGUAGCGGUGAAAUGCGUAGAUAUCGGAAGGAACACCAGUGGCGAAAGCGGCUUCCUGGUCCAGCACCGACGUUCAGGCACGAAAGCGCGGGGAGCAAACAGG